rnacentral:lncRNA from 1 species
GCUCCAUACCUGCUGUAUAUUCUAAUAAGAUCAUCUUUGGUAGGCAAUGAGGAUCCGGGGCCAAAUGUCACAAAGAGAGCAGUAGGUAAAGAAUUUUCAACUUCAUUAUCAUUUUUCUUCAUAACUGCAGCCCUGGCAGCUUGCUUGAUUUCAGGGUUGUAUGCCUUCAGUUCUUCACUUGUUUUCUUCGGUGAAGACCUGGUAGCCUGCCCAGCUUCAGAUUGCGCCAUCUUCGACUCUUCAUUCUUUCCAACCUUUUUCUUCAGGGAUGUCCGUCCAGAGGGAGCAUAAUCAGUCAAAUUUUGGUCCUUUCCU